AGCAAAGUAAUAUUCAUAACACCCACCUUAGUACAAAGUAUGCUAACAGAAUGAAGGAGAUGACUGGGUUGGAACUCCCAAUUACCACGAAAGAAUAAAAAAGCUUUCUUUCCAAAAAGGCACUUGGGUAGGAGGGAUCACUAAUGUAGGACAUGCCAUAGAGAAAUGAGGAGAAAAAGAUUAAACCCCUUUUGGAGGUCACGGUAUUCCCUAAUGUCAUGGGAUGAUACAUCGAACGGAAGAUAUCUAGUGAGACUUUUCCUGGUAAGCCUGUAAAACCCCACGCCUGAAAGUACCCAAACAAUUAGGCUCAAUGGGAGUGAGCUUAGAAUGGGCCGUAUUUAAUGAGGAAAGAGUUUUUAUAAACAAGGGAUGAAAGGUUACUCUGAGUCCCAUAUUCGACGAAUGCCUAUGAAUAGCUAUGUAGCCUAGGCACGGACAAUUCACCGUAUAAAAUAGCCCAUAGCAUAAAAGCUCUAUAUCACUUGGAGCGUUGAAAUGAAUCCAAAUGUUAGAAAGGUCUUGUUCGGAGAGAUUGCUAAAGAU
rnacentral:lncRNA from 1 species